AAAAAGACAAACCCUGGUUUCCGUGUCCAACGUUUGACCGUCCGUCUUAUUUAAAAAAAUUAUAAAAAAAAAUUAAAAAGACAAGUCACGUAUAAAAUAUUAAUCAUGUUUUAUCAUCUAACAACAAUGAAAAUACGAAUUAUAAAAAAAUUUUAUAUAAGAUGGACAAUCAAAGUUAGACACGGAAACCAGAGUUUGUCUUUUUU
rnacentral:pre_miRNA from 1 species